AUUGAACGCUGGCGGCAGGCUUAACACAUGCAAGUCGAGCGGUAACAGGAGAAGCUUGCUUCUCGCUGACGAGCGGCGGACGGGUGAGUAAUACUUAGGAAUCUACCUAGUAGUGGGGGAUAGCUCGGGGAAACUCGAAUUAAUACCGCAUACGACCUACGGGAGAAAGGGGGCAACUUGUUGCUCUCGCUAUUAGAUGGGCCAAAGUCGGAUUAGCUAGAUGGUGGGGAAAAGGCCUACCAUGGCGACGAUCUGUGGCUGGUCUGGGAGGAAAAUCGGCCAAACCGGGAGUGAGACAGGGCCGGGAUUCCUACGGGAGGAAGAGUUGGGAAAUAUUGAACAAGGGGGGAAACCCGGAUCCAGCCAUGCCGCGUGGGUGAAAAAGGCCUUUUGGUUGAAAGCACUUUAAGCAGUGAAGAAGACUCUAGGGUUAAUACCCUUAGACGAUGACAUUAGCUGCAGAAUAAGCACCGGCUAACUCUGUGCCAGCCGCCGCGGUAA
rnacentral:rRNA from 1 species